UCAGUCCACAAUGAAACUGCUACACACAGCACUAAAAACACAGCAAGUGAACAGAAUCACCCCGAAAAAGACAAAUCACAUGUAAUUCAAAGGAGGCUCCAAGUCAAUCAAGCAACCCAAGAAAAAAAAUCAGAGGAUACAGACCCAAAAGACAAGUGAGUAAAGCACAAGAAGUUCCUGAUUUAGCUAUGCGGCUUUGAAAUAAAUGUAUGUUAAAAGUUA